GUGACAGAUUGAGUAGUCCAUCACAAUAAAAUAAAAAAAAAGUAACUAAUAUAAUAACGGAUUUAUUCUGUCACAAUAAAAUUAUUUUUUUUUAAUUAAUUUUAAAAAUAUUUUUGACAGAUUUCUUUCCGUAACAAAAGCAUAAUUAAGCAGAUUUCUUCAUUUUCCCUCAAAAUUCCCUCAAAAUUUUUUUGCCUCUUUUUAUUUUCCCUCAAAACCUACAGAAAACCCUUCACUCUUCAUCCUGCACAACAGUUUGCUCCAUUUUGACAACGGCGGGUGUUCAAGAUUUGGCUGCCCUCAUGUUGACUUCACUCUCGUUUUGCAUAAUAUUUUGCUCCAUUUUGACAAAGUGGGUGUUCAAGAUUUGACCACUCGUCUUAUUCGGCACACCCAUUUUACUCCAUUUUGACGAAAUGGCUAUUCAAGAUUCUGUUGUUAUUCUUAUCUUCUUAAGGUUCAGGGAAGCCUUUGCUACCAUUGGACAAGGUCGAUGAGGAGGAAGAAAAAGAGAGAUCUAAAUCAGUCUCGUACUCCUAUUCUUUCUUCCACCUUAUCUUUUCUCUUGCCAGUAUGUACUCGGCAAUGCUUCUAACAGGGUGGAAAAUUAGUAGACGUUGGGUGGCCAUCUUUCUGGGUCAGGAUCGUGUUGCCGAAGAGCGUAUCAAAAUACUUAAGAAAGAGGUUAAAUAUGAGAGAAAAUCAAGAGAGUUCUUCAAGAGCGUGUAGAGUUGGAGGUGCAACAGCGACUAGAGCAAGAGGUUUCCCAUUUGAGGCAACAAAGUGAUGAUCGAUUCAAAUCUAUGGAGGAGCAAUGAUCUCGUAUGAUGAGCGAUAUGACAUUAUCUUCUCGCUCAUUUAGUAAUCCUACUGUCCCUAAUAGAGACUCAUCUAAUGCUUAAAUGUUUAAUAUUUUGAGAAAUUAGUUGAAGUGUCGACUUGAACAUUGUCACGUUCUUUUGGAUAGUUAUAUGCUUUAAAUUUUAAACAUUGGUAGACUUUUGCUUAUUGAAGUUGUGAUUUUGCAUGUUUUAAUUAA